UGCAAGUCGAACGGAAUUUACAUGAAGCCUAGCGAUUGUAAAUUUAGUGGCGGACGGGUGAGUAACGCGUGGGUAACCUGCCUUGUACUGGGGGACAACAGUUGGAAACGACUGCUAAUACCGCAUAAGCGCACAGCUUCGCAUGAAGCAGUGUGAAAAACUCCGGUGGUACAAGAUGGACCCGCGUCUGAUUAGCUGGUUGGUGAGGUAACGGCCCACCAAGGCGACGAUCAGUAGCCGGCCUGAGAGGGUGAACGGCCACAUUGGGACUGAGACACGGCCCAAACUCCUACGGGAGGCAGCAGUGGGGAAUAUUGCACAAUGGGGGAAACCCUGAUGCAGCAACGCCGCGUGAGUGAAGAAGUAUUUCGGUAUGUAAAGCUCUAUCAGCAGGAAAGAAAAUGACGGUACCUGACUAAGAAGCCCCGGCUAACUACGUGCCAGCAGCCGCGGUAAUACGUAGGGGGCAAGCGUUAUCCGGAUUUACUGGGUGUAAAGGGAGCGUAGACGGUUUUGCAAGUCUGAAGUGAAAGCCCGGGGCUUAACCCCGGGACUGCUUUGGAAACUGUAGGACUAGAGUGCAGG
rnacentral:rRNA from 1 species